rnacentral:tRNA from 1 species
GCUGGUGUGGCUCAGUGGAUAGAGCGUCAGCCUGUGGACUGAAGGGUCCCGGGUUCGAUUCCAGUCAAUGGCC